UUUAGUAUAACUAUCAAGUGACAUUAAGCGUUUCUGGAUUCUGUAUGCAAUAAAUAAGCUUAUAUUCAUUUCUUUCGACAUCAUGAGACUUGAUCAAUGAAUUAACUUGGGUCUUUGAAUGAUUCAUGUACCAAGGAUAGUUUACGCUCCGGAGGUAAAUCAAUAGUUAGAGUUUAACCGAUCCAUUUUCCGAGAUUGUGUGCAGAAUGAGACAGUAACCUUGAGUGAUGCCGAUAUUCAAUUUCGGAUUCACAACUGCCAAGUUCCAACUGAUGAGUCUUGUGAUUUCUAUCUAUCUAUGGCAACAAUGGUAAAAUUCGAAAGUUUUUGAAUUUGAACCCUUGGAUCAUCGGAUUUGACGCCUAUUAUUAUAAAACUAAUUGAUCAAAAUCAAAAGUAUACACAGAGUCCUUUUAGAUUUUCAAUUCCCACCUUUUUCUCUUCCCAUCCCAUCCUAGCAGUCUAGCACAGAAAGAACCACCACGGCACCCUAAAAAAAGUUCAGAACUUUUUGUUUGGUUCUCUGGAAAAAAAUAGCCAUGGCCAAGCCAAAAACAUCCUACGAGGAAACCCGAAAGCAGAGAAUGGAAGAAAACAGGAAGAGAAUGGAAGCCCUCAAUCUGCCUCAGCUGGCUCAGGCUUUUCGAACCUCUUCGUCUCCCAAACCUUCUCCGAUGAAGCGCCAGAAGCCUCGUAAAGUGGAGAAGCAGAUUGUUGAGGUGAGGAGAUCGGCUCGCGUUGCAAGGCAGCCUACCCCUGUUUACAGAGAAGUUGAGGUGAAGGUACCAAGAAGCUAUGGGAGGAUUUCUAAGCAUAGGGAUUUGUCCAACCGGGUAUAUGCUAGUGAGUACGCCAGAGCUGAGGCAACCGAGAAAGCUGAGGAAUUGGAGUCGCGCUUGGGAUCCGAUUACCCGACCUUUGUGAAACCAAUGCUCCAAUCCCAUGUCACUGGUGGAUUCUGGCUGGGUCUUCCACUCCCUUUCUGCAGGAAGUACCUCCCCAAACGCGAUGCAGCUGUGAUGCUGGUAGAUGAAGAAGGUGAGGAGUACCCGAUUGUAUACUUGGGGAACAAAAAUGGACUUAGCGGUGGAUGGAGAGGAUUUUCGAUUGCCCAUGAGUUGGUGGACGGUGAUGCAUUGGUAUUUCAGUUAAUCAAGCCUACGACAUUCAAGGUGAUGACUUUUAAACUCUGUUUUGAGGACUCAGGGAAUACAUGAGAAACUCGUAAAACCCCAUACUCGAGGACUGGUAUAUUAGAUUAUUAGAAUAGACUCAAUAGAGUCAAUAGACCAGGUAGUACUUACUUGACUAUAAUUAAGGACUACUUACAAGUUUCUUGAUUUAGUUCAAAUGUAAGAGGGUUCUCUUUUUAAGCAAUAACAUGCUGUGGAAGGGAAUGGUGAAAACAAAUAUAGUCUCUUCCGUAGAUACAGAUGAUUCCAACUAGAUAAGUGCCUUAUUCUUCUUUCUUGUCCAGCCUAAAUGUUUUGUCUUUAAUAUACUGUUUUUCUGUUACCAUUUCAGGUGUACAUCAUAAGGGUAGAAAGCUCUUAAAGAGUUCAACAAGCUCUAAACUCAUGAGUUAGGUCAGUUGAGGUUAAAAUGUUUUGGAAUGGACUAUCCAAGUGCAAUAGAUCUUCAUUUGCCCCUAGACAAUAUUUUUUGUAUACUAGAGAUCACCAAAUGUUAUUCGGGCUCUCUGUAAUUUUUCUGAUGAGGUGAUCAUAUUCGGAUGUCCAUGGUGUCUAAAGACAUGAACACAGAACUUCAUUUGGAUGCACUGUCUAGAGAAGAUCAUCUAUAGAUAUCAAUUUUAAUGUGUUUUGAGUUCAUUUUCUUUGAAUUUUAAUCUAUC